rnacentral:rRNA from 1 species
GGUACCGUCAGGCCUAACGUGUAUUAUACGUUAGGAGGUUCUUCCCCUCUGACAGAGCUUUACGACCCAAGAGCCUUCACCACUCACGCGGUAUUGCUGCGUCAGGCUUUCGCCCAUUGCGCAAAAUUCCCCA